rnacentral:rRNA from 1 species
UACGAAGGGGGCUAGCGUUGCUCGGAAUUACUGGGCGUAAAGCGCACGUAGGCGGCUUUCUAAGUCGGGGGUGAAAUCCUGGAGCUCAACUCCAGAACUGCCUUCGAUACUGGAGAGCUUGAGUCCGGGAGAGGUGAGUGGAACUGCGAGUGUAGAGGUGAAAUUCGUAGAUAUUCGCAAGAACACCAGUGGCGAAAGGCGGCUCACUGG